GCACUACUGACGAGUCCCGAACAGGACGAAAUGAUUGUCCAGUGC
rfam:Echinostoma caproni strain Egypt genome assembly, scaffold: ECPE_scaffold0001867